AAGUCGUAACAAGGUUUCCGUAGGUGAACCUGCGGAAGGAUCAUUAGCAAAGUUCGAGGACGUCCGAGGCCAAACCCUCAGGGGGACGGCCGAUGGCGUUCCGACAAAGGGAAGUCGAAGCGGUCGAUGGAUCUCCUCGCCGCUUCGCCAGUCCACAAACCCUCUCGGUGUACCAUAUCCUUGUUGCCUCCCCGGGCCCAAAUCGUCCGGGGAGAGACCGAAUCCAAUCUCUGUAAUCUGUCGUCUGAACUGGAUGGCUCGCAUGCCGUCCGAAGAAUUAAAAAAGUUUAAAACUUUCAACAACGGAUCUCUUGGUUCUC
rnacentral:misc_RNA from 1 species